rfam:Oryza meridionalis cultivar OR44 (W2112) chromosome 8, whole genome shotgun sequence.
AAUAAGUGCAGUUUUGUACUAUUUAUGUUCAACGUUUGACCGUUCGUCUUAUUUGAAAAUUUUUAUGCUUAGUAUUUUUAUUGCUAUUAGAUGAUAAAACAUGAAUAGUCCUUUAUGCGUGACUAAAUAUUUUUAAAUUUUUUACAAUUUUUUAAAUAAAACGGAUGGUCAAACGUUAGAAAUGGAUAUCUAUAGCUACACUUAUU